rnacentral:rRNA from 1 species
AUGGCCGCCGCCGCCGCCGCCGGAGACCUCAGGUCGGAGUUCCGCGAGGUGCUCCUCAGCCGCCGCCGCGAACUCCAAGUCCCGGUGCCUACGACCGUGGAGAAAGGGAGCCCGGUGAAGGAGCCACUGUACCAAGGCAACGGGCCUCUGGGGGGCAGAGAGGCCAUGGAGUCGUGCCCGAGGAAGGAGGUGGAGAAUUUCGAGGAGAAGCUGGUUGAGGAAAAUUUCUACCUCAUGACCGAGUCGGGCGAACAGGGACGCCUACCUGUACUUCUACUGAAACUUAACGACGCUGCUCCUGAAAGAAAGCCCGUUGUUGUAAUACUGCACAGCUCUUACAAAUGCAAGGAAUGGUUGCGUCCUCUACUUGAGGCAUAUGCCUCCAGGGGUUAUAUUGCUGUCGCCAUCGAUUCUCGUUAUCACGGUGAAAGGGCCAGCAGCAAGACUACUUACAUAGAGGCACUCAAUUCAGCUUGGAGGAAUGGGGACACUAUGCCUUUUAUUUUUGACACGGUGUGGGACUUGAUAAAGCUUGGAGAUUAUCUUAGUGCAAGGGAGGAUGUCGAUCCCUCUAGGAUAGGGAUUACUGGUGAAUCACUCGUGGGAAUGCAUGCAUGGUUUGCUGCUUUUGUGGAUACACGGUACAGUGUUGUUGUUCCAAUAAUUGGUGUUCAGGGAUUUCAAUGGGCAAUAGAUAAUGACAAGUGGCAAGCUAGAGUUGAUAGCAUUAAGCCUUUAUUUGAAGAAGCAAGAAUUGAUUCAGGGAAGAGUGAAAUAGAUGCAGAGGUUGUGAAAAAGGUUUGGGACAAGAUAGCACCUGGUAUGGCUUCACAGUUUGAUGCUCCCUACUCAGUUCCUCUGAUUGCACCACGUCCGCUCCUCCUCCUAAAUGGUGCUGACGACCCUCGUUGCCCAGUCCUUGGUCUACAAGAACCUGCCUCCAAAGCUGCUAAGGCUUAUGAAGAAGCUGGUUCUGCGGAGAAGUUCAAGGUAACAUGCAAUUUCGUCGCGGAGCCGGGAGUUGGGCACAGGAUGACCGCGAGCAUGGUGAAGGAAGCGAGCGACUGGUUCGACCGCUUUCUCUAG